UCCUUGGUGGUCCAGUUGUUAAGACUCUGAACUUCUACCACAGUGGGCAUAGGUUCUAUUCCUAGUUGGGGAA
rnacentral:tRNA from 1 species